rnacentral:rRNA from 1 species
AGUGAACGCUGGCGGUAGGCCUAACACAUGCAAGUCGAACGGCAGCACAGUAAGAGCUUGCUCUUACGGGUGGCGAGUGGCGGACGGGUGAGGAAUACAUCGGAAUCUACUUUUUCGUGGGGGAUAACGUAGGGAAACUUACGCUAAUACCGCAUACGACCUACGGGUGAAAGCAGGGGAUCUUCGGACCUUGCGCGAUUGAAUGAGCCGAUGUCGGAUUAGCUAGUUGGCGGGGUAAAGGCCCACCAAGGCGACGAUCCGUAGCUGGUCUGAGAGGAUGAUCAGCCACACUGGAACUGAGACACGGUCCAGACUCCUACGGGAGGCAGCAGUGGGGAAUAUUGGACAAUGGGCGCAAGCCUGAUCCGGCCAUAUCGCGUGGGUGAAGAAGGCCUUCGGGUUGUAAAGCCCUUUUGUUGGGAAAGAAAAGCAGCAGGUUAAUACCCCGCUGUUCUGACGGUACCCAAAGAAUAAGCACCGGCUAACUUCGUG